UACAGAGGUCCCGAGCGUUGUUCGGAUUCACUGGGCGUAAAGGGUGCGUAGGUGGCUUGAAAAGUUUGAUGUGAAAGCUCAGGGCUUAACCCUGAAAUGGCAUUGAAUACUGUCGAGCUGGAGGUUUGGAGGGGGACUGGAAUUCUUGGUGUAGCAGUGAAAUGCGUAGAUAUCAAGAGGAACACCAGUGGCGAAGGCGAGUCCCUGGACAACACCUGACACUGAGGCACGAAAGCUAGGGAGCAAACGGG
rnacentral:rRNA from 1 species